GACGAACGCUGGCGGCGUGCUUAACACAUGCAAGUCGAACGGUGACCUCGAGAGCUUGCUCUUGGGUGAUCAGUGGCGAACGGGUGAGCAACACGUGAGGAACCUGCCCCAGACUCUGGAAUAACCCCGGGAAACCGGAGCUAAUACCGGAUACGACACCAGGUCGCAAGGGCAUGGCGUGGCAAGUUUUUCGGUCUGGGAUGGCCUCGCGGCCUAUCAGCUUGGUGGUGGGGUAGUGGCUCACCAAGUCGACGACGGGUAGCCGGCCUGAGAGGGCGGACGGCCACACGAGGACUGAGACACGGCCCAGACUCCUACGGGAGGCAGCAGUGGGGAAUAUUGCACAAUGGGCGAAAGCCUGAUGCAGCGACGCCGCGUGAGGGAUGACGGCCUUCGGGUUGUAAACCUCUUUUAGCAGGGAAGAAGCGAAAGUGACGGUACCUGCAGAAAAAGCACCGGCUAACUACGUGCCAGCAGCCGCGGUAAUAC
rnacentral:rRNA from 1 species